rnacentral:rRNA from 1 species
CCUACGGGAGGCAGCAGUGAGGAAUAUUGGUCAAUGGACGAGAGUCUGAACCAGCCAAGUAGCGUGAAGAAUGACGGCCCUAUGGGUUGUAAACUUCUUUUAUAUGGGGAUAAAACAGGUCACGCGUGCCCUCUUGCAGGUACCGUAUGAAUAAGGAUCGGCUAACUCCGUGCCAGCAGCCGCGGUAAUACGGAGGAUCCGAGCGUUAUCCGGAUUUAUUGGGUUUAAAGGGAGCGUAGGGUGAUCGUUAAGUCAGUUGUGAAAGUUUGCGGCUCAACCGUAAAAUUGCAGUUGAAACUGGGAGUCUUGAGUGCAGUAGAGGUAGGCGGAAUGCGUGGUGUAGCGGUGAAAUGCUUAGAUAUCACGAAGAACUCCGAUUGCGAAGGCAGCUCACUGGACUGCAACUGACGCUGAUGCUCGAAAGUGUGGGUAUCAAACAGGAUUAGAUACCCCUGUAGUC